GGAGUCUUACGCUUAUCAGAGGGAAAUGUGGUGCAGUGAAGGUUAGGGCUGGGGCACCUGGCUGAGGUGGGAUCCCAUUACCCUUGGGGGAAGUGGGUCUUAGCGGGCAGACCACCACCCUGUCUCACCCACUCCAUCAGGGAAGUGGAUUGUGAACUAUGCCUGGGCAGUGUGAAGCCAGAAACAACUCUGGUGGCGUUCUGUAGCGGUCCUAAAGUGCAAAUCAGUCAUCUGACUUGGGUAUAGAGGUAAAAGACUAAUCACACCAUCUAGUAGCUGGUUCCUUCAGAAGUUUCCCUCAGGAUAGCUGGCACUCGUCCACAGUUUUAUCUGGUAAAGUGAAUCUUGGGGCCAAAACAAUCCCAACCAAUUCUCAAACUUUAGAUGGGUAAGAAGCCCGGCUCGCUGGCUUGGAAUGCGAGCAGACCUAGUGGGCCAUUUUUGGUAAGCAGAACUGUCACUGCGAGGUGAACCGAACAAUGGGUUAAGGCGCCCAAUGGUGGCCUUGGAAGUCGGAAUCCACUAAGGAGUGUGUAACAACUUACCUGCUGAAUCAACUAGCCCUGAAAAUGCCCUUAAAAAACAUUUGGGACUCGUCUAUGCAGAUGCUUUGGGGGGUGGGGUGUAAACCAUUGUGAAGUGCUGGGACAAGAUAUUGAAAAGUGGCCUCACUUUAUGCAGCCUGUCAUGACC
rnacentral:ncRNA from 1 species